UAUUUAUUAGAUAACAGACCAAUAUUCCUCGUGUCUGUUGUGGUGACUCAUAGUAACUGAUCGGAUCGCAUGGCCUUGUGCCGCGACUAACCAUUCAAGUUUCUGACCCAUCAGCUUUCGAUGGUAGUGUAUUGGACUACCAUGGCUUUCACGGGUAACGGAGGAUUAGGGUUCGAUUCCGGAGAGGGAGCCUGAGAAACGGCUACCACAUCUAAGGAAGGCAGCAGGCGCGUAAAUUACCCAAUCCUGACUCAGGGAGGUAGUGACAAGAAAUAACGGGUCGGGGCAUUCGCCUCGGGAUUGCAAUGAAUCGAAUUUACACCCCUUAAUGAGGAUCAAUUGGAGGGCAAGUCUGGUGCCAGCAGCCGCGGUAAUUCCAGCUCCAAUAGCGUAUAUUAAAGUUGUUGCAGUUAAAAAGCUCGUAGUUUGAUUUCUGGACGGGCGCCAACACCCGCUUGUUUAGUGUGGAGGCGGCGCCCGCCCAUCCUUCUGUUAACGCCACCGGCAUUCAUUUGCUGGCGGCGGGCUCAGAUAUUUUACCUUGAGAAAAUUAGAGUGUUUCAGGCAGGCUUGCGC
rnacentral:rRNA from 1 species